rnacentral:miRNA from 1 species
GAGAGAGAGAGAGAGAGAGAGAGAGAGAGAGGGAAAAAAAGAAAGAAAGAAUGAAAGAAAUAUUGAAUGAAAUUUCUUAAAUGAAACGAUUAAAGCUUUUUUUUCUUCUUAUACUGAAAUGAGAUAUGUUUCCUCUCUCCCUCACUCCCUCUCUUUCUAAAC